AUCCUUGUUCUGGACAAUAAAGUCUCCGUUUGUGCACCAAGACACAUCCUGGAGUUCUCUCUGCUGCUCCAGUGUUGGGGUCCCAAUCCAGUCUCCAGAUUCAAGCUAUUCAGGGAUAGCAGCAGAUCUUCCUCCGGAGCACCGUCGCUACCUUCGACCUGGGUCCGGGAUUGCAUAUCCUCAUUCUUUCAGGUCCCUGUUCGGGCGCCACUUGUCGCGAGCCGCGACGUCAGGAUCCUGCCAGCAGGUCCUAAACCUGAAAGGAUGAGGACAGAGAGACGGGAGACACCUUUCUUCUUCAGUUGCUUGCUUUAUUAUAGAACCUCGCCCUUUUAUACUCUCCAGCUGCAUGGGAGCGAGGGCUGCACGGGAGCGAGGGAGCGAGGGUACCGCCCACACAUUCCAGAGGGAAACAAUAACGACCAUUAUGGGUUACAUCUGCUACUAGCUGAACUCGCCCGUGGCUAUGGGCGAGAGCACCUCCGUGCCUGUGUCAAGGCUCACCAUAAUGGCUCGCCAUAGUUCUCCAGUGACAUUUAGUUUGUUCUCACUUUGGCUAGGGUUAGUUUGUG
rnacentral:lncRNA from 1 species